rnacentral:rRNA from 1 species
UACGGAAGGCAGCAGUGGGGAAUAUUGCACAAUGGGCGAAAGCCUGAUGCAGCUAUGCCGCGUGUAUGAAGAAGGCCUUAGGGUUGUAAAGUACUUUUCAUCGGGGAGGAAAAAACAAAACUAAUAAUUUUAUUUCUUGACGUUACCCGAAAAAGAAGCACAGGCUAACUCCGUGCCAGCAGCCGCGGUAAUACGGAGGGUGCUAGCGUUAAUCAGAAUUACUGGGCGUAAAGAGCACGUAGGUGGGUUUUUUUAAGUUCAGAUGUGAAAUCCCUGGGCUUAACCUAGGAACUGCAUUUUGAAACUGAAAUACUAGAGUAUCGUAGAGGGAGGUAGAAUUCUAGGUGUAGCGGUGAAAUGCGUAGAUAUCUGGAGGAAUACCUGUGGCGAAAGCGGCCUCCUAAACGAAUACUGACACUGAGGUGCGAAAGCGUGGGGAGCAAACAGGGAUUAGAUACC